rnacentral:rRNA from 1 species
GAUGAACGCUGGCGGCGUGCUUAACACAUGCAAGUCGAACGGAAAGGCCAGUGCUUGCACUGGUACUCGAGUGGCGAACGGGUGAGUAACACGUGGGUGAUCUGCCCUGUACUUCGGGAUAAGCUUGGGAAACUGGGUCUAAUACCGGAUAGGACAACUUUUUGGAUAUUGUUGUGGAAAGCUUUUGCGGUAUGGGAUGAGCUCGCGGCCUAUCAGCUUGUUGGCGGGGUAAUGGCCUACCAAGGCGUCGACGGGUAGCCGGCCUGAGAGGGUGUACGGCCACAUUGGGACUGAGAUACGGCCCAGACUCCUACGGGAGGCAGCAGUGGAGAAUAUUGCACAAUGGGCGCAAGCCUGAUGCAGCGACGCCGCGUGGGGGAUGAAGGCCUUCGGGUUGUAAACUCCUUUCGCUGGGGACGAAGCGUAAGUGACGGUACCUGGAGAAGAAGCACCGGCUAACUACGUG